GCCCUGGUGGCAUAGUGGUUAAGUGCUUGGCUGCUAACUGAAAGGUUGGUGGUUCAAACCCAUCCAGCAGCU
rnacentral:tRNA from 1 species